CUUCUAUAAAAACGCGCCGCACCCGCUGCCCUCCCUCAUUUCUCGGACGUCUUAGAGGGCUGGAGACAGGAUUUUCAUAGAGAUGGAUGUGGUCAAAUGGCUCUCAGUGCUCAUCCCAACAUCUAGAAAUCACAAGUUUCUUGAUGGGAGCUGGGACGAUCCAGAGACUUGACUAAGCUGUAGGAGACUGAAAGGGUGACCUCGUGUUUUGAGUUCUAUCACAAACAGAUGGUCCUGAUGUUGGAUCCAGCUGUGCAUUCCUGGAUCAGCUGCAGAAAUGGGGGGUGGCCCACAAAAGGCAAAAUGAAGGUGUGCACACCUUGCUGUUGGCCUCCAGUCUACUCUGCUGAGUGAGCGGGAUUGUGGCUGCUCCCAGUGCAGAAGAUGAUAAAACACUCAUGGUUGUAAUCCAUUUGGACCGCAGAGACCAGAGUGGCUGAGAGAACGGAAAAGUCAAAACUGAUGUGCACUGAGGCGCUAUCAACAUAUUUUACUUUAAGAGCUUUGUGGCGGUUGUAAUAAAUCUUAACUGGUACUGUUUGGAUCAACUCCCUCAAAGCCAUAAACUUGCAGUUUCUUGAUCUUCUGUUUUCACUUGAAAAUCUGAGUUUAUUGGUUUGUCUCACAAUGUGAUUUCUAGAUCCUGUCCGUGUGUUUGUAACAUUGUAACAAUAAAUACUGAAUAUUGA